CGCGUACGGGAAAGAGGAGACGGCGCGCGACUUCUUCCUCAGAGCUGUGAGGAGGAGGAUAGAAGCUUUUCAGAGUUAUCACCCUCCCGAAAGAGCUUGUGAUGCUCUUGGGUGUCCCCCUGUACGCUGAGACAGGAAGGAGCAACAGAGAACUGCGGUCAAGUGACAACUUUCACUUACAGAUGACAGAUGAUGAUCUCCAGAAGUCCAUCUACAUGAUUUGGGAUUUAAAAAUAAAGGCAUAAUCUCUACAUUGA